UACGUAGGGUGCGAGCGUUGCCCGGAUUUAUUGGGCGUAAAGGGCGCGCAGGCGGCCACGCACGUCCGUUGUGAAAUCGCUCGGCUCAACUGGGCGGGGUCAGCGGAUACGGCGCGGCUGGAGGCAAGCUAGGGGGCAAUGGAAUUCCCGGUGUAGUGGUGGAAUGCGUAGAUAUCGGGAGGAACGACCAGUGGCGAAGGCGGUUGCCUGGAGCUUUGGCUGACGCUGAGGCUG
rnacentral:rRNA from 1 species